UACGUAGGGGGCAAGCGUUGUCCGGAUUUAUUGGGCGUAAAGAGCGUGUAGGCGGUCAGGUAGGUCCGUUGUGAAAACUCGAGGCUCAACCUCGAGACGCCGAUGGAAACCAUCUGACUAGAGUCCGGAAGAGGAGAGUGGAAUUCCUGGUGUAGCGGUGAAAUGCGCAGAUAUCAGGAGGAACACCGGUGGCGAAGGCGGGUCUCUGGGCAGUAACUGACGCUGAGGAGCGAAAGCGUGGGGAGCGAACAGG
rnacentral:rRNA from 1 species